GGCCGCCUGGCGAAAUGGCAUCGCGUCUGACUACGAAGGUGCAAAAUUCACCAGUUUAUCAGGAGAUUGCAGGUUCGACCCCUGCGGUGGUCA